CCCGCGCGGCCGCGCCCCGCCUCCCAGCGUGCCCCGCGGCGCGGCGCGGCGCGGAGAGGAUGCCGCGGGGUGUCCCUCGGUGACGCGGGGCGCGCGCGCGGCGCGGCGGUGACGCGGCGGUGACGCGGCGGGCGGGGCGGGCCCGGCCCGUCCCGCCGGGGAUCCCGGUGCGGCGGCGGCGUCAUGGCCGGGGUGUUCGACAUCGACCUGGAGACGGAGGAGGGCAGCGACGGGGACGAGCCCGAGCUGGGCGCCGAGAUGGAGCUGGAGCCACGAGGGAAUGGCCUGGAGCCUGUGGGGCACUAUGAGGAGAUUGAGAUCUCGGAGAGCAGCGUCAACAACGGCCCUGAGCACAUCGGUCCGCACUGCUUUGAGCUGCUCCGCGUCCUGGGCAAGGGCGGCUACGGCAAGGUAUUCCAGGUCCGCAAAGUGCAGGGCACCAACAUGGGCAAGAUCUUUGCCAUGAAGGUCCUGAAGAAGGCCAAGAUUGCCUGCAACGCCAAGGACACGGCGCACACGCGGGCCGAGAGGAACAUCCUGGAGGCCGUCAAGCACCCCUUCAUCGUCGACCUCAUGUACGCCUUCCAGACGGGCGGCAAGCUCUAUCUCAUCCUGGAGUGCCUCAGCGGUGGAGAACUCUUCAUGCAACUUGAGCGGGAGGGCAUCUUUCUAGAGGACACUGCCUGUUUCUACCUUAGCGAGAUCACGUUGGCGCUGGGCCACCUGCACUCCAAUGGCAUCAUCUACCGAGACCUCAAGCCAGAGAACAUCAUGCUCAACAGCCAAGGCCACAUCAAGCUGACAGACUUUGGGCUGUGCAAAGAGUCGAUCCACGAUGGGGCUGUCACACACACCUUCUGUGGCACCAUCGAGUACAUGGCCCCGGAGAUCCUGGUCCGCAGCGGGCACAACCGGGCGGUGGACUGGUGGAGCCUGGGCGCCCUGAUGUACGACAUGCUCACAGGAUCGCCCCCCUUCACAGCCGAGAACCGCAAGAAAACCAUCGACAAAAUCCUCAAGGGCAAGCUGGUGCUGCCGCCCUACCUGACGCCUGAUGCCCGGGACCUGCUCAAGAAGUUCCUCAAGCGAAACCCCAGCCAGCGGGUUGGGGGGGGCCCGGGCGAUGCAGCUGAUGUGCAGAAGCAGCCCUUCUUCCGCCACAUCAACUGGGACGACCUCCUGGCCCGCAAGCUCGACCCCCCCUUCAAGCCCUGCCUGCAGUCGGAGGAGGACGUAAGCCAGUUCGACACCCGCUUCACCCGCCAGACGCCUGUGGACAGCCCUGACGACGCGGCCAUCAGCGAGAGUGCCAACCAGGCUUUCCUGUUCCCCCCAGGGCUUCACCUAUGUGGCCCCAUCGGUGCUGGAGAGCAUCAAGGAAGGGUUCUCCUUCCAGCCCAAGGUGCGCUCACCCCGGCGCCUCAACAGCAGCCCCCGCACACCUGUCAGCCCUGUGAAGUUCUCGCCCUUCGAGCCCUUCAAGGUGGGCGCCGCAGCAGAGCCCAUGGAGCUGGGGCCCAGCUUGCCCCCCCCGCCUGAGGGCACGGCCCCGCUGCCCAUCAAGACCGCAGCCAAGAAGCAGAAGGGGGGCCGGGGGCGGGUGCCCAGGCGGCCGUCCCGGAGAAGGCGUGGAGGUCGCUGAGCAGGGCCUCAGCGCUGCCCCCUGCCGCCUGCUCUGCCAACGGGGGGCUCCCGUCCAGGUCUGGGGGCUCUGCGCUUGGUGUGCCAUCUGCCUCCACGCCCGGAGCUGCCAUGGCCUCCUCUUCCUCCUCCUCCUCCUCCUCCUGCUUGUCCUCCUCCUCUUCGUCCUCCUCAUCCUGCCGGGGCUGGUCCUGGGGCCACGGCAUCAGCUCCUCCUCCUCGUCGCGGGGUGGCCCCACCUCGUCCCUGUCCCCAUCGGGGUCCUGCGCCCCGGGGUGGCCAUGUCCCCGCAGGCGUCUCCAGCGGCCCCGCAGCAGCGCCAGGGCCCGGCGGCCCAGGGGCCGGGGGUGGUAGCGCCCGGCAGAGAGGCGGCACAGGUGGUGCCAGGCCAGGGCCAGCCCCACAGCCAGGCACAGCAGGAUGCCCAGCAGGGCCCCCACGACCCGGUCGCUGCGGCUGCUUGCCAGCUCCGAGGCGGCCACCAGGCCCGGCAGCACCAGCAGCGCCAGCCCCGGGGGCUGCAGGCACCGCCACGCUGCAGCCUGUGGGGCAGCAGCACUGGGUCAGGCAGCUUGGCACCGUGCCCAGCUCCUCCCGCCAGCCCGGGCCAUGGGGUUUCCCCACACAGUGCCAGUCUCCCAGUCCCUUCCCCGUCCCGGAAAGAGGGGCAGGCCCCAGGGCAAAGGGCAGUGGGACUGGGGGAAUGGGGAUGCGGCGUCACACACGACGGCCCCUGUUGCUGCCCCCCCACAGGCGUCACGCCCGGGCAGGUGGCCGCGCCAGCCCCAUGUGACGGGAAACUGUGGUCGGCUGCAGCGCCUGCAGGUGCAGGGGGAGAGGGGCCGGGCCUGCCGCCCCCACACAGCCCCAUGGUGCCUGCACAGCCCCCAGCUCUGCACAGCCCUGCAAGCUGCCCGCCCUGUGCAGCUCCACAUGCCUGCAGUGCCACAGCCCUACGUCAUUUGUCACCCCACCCAGACCCACGGUAGCUGUGUGGUCCCAAGCCCUGUACAAUUCCCCCUCCUCCAGCCAUGCCCUGCAAAGCUCUGUAGCCCUGCGCACCCUAUUACCCUGCCCCAUAGUGCCUGCAAGGCCAUGAUGCUGCAAUGUCCCACACAGCUGCACAGUGCCUGCCCGAAUUUGCUACCACCCCCCCACCAGCAGCUCCAGAAGCACUGGCUCAGCCACUAACCCUGCGCACCCCCCCCCGGCCCCACAGAGCUCUAAAGCCCCUGCCCUCGUCUCGUAGCACUGCCUGGCCCCACAGAGCCCGAUGGCAUCUGCAUGUUCCCCCCCCCCCCCCCAGUAGCACCUGCGCAGCCCCAUAGCAAAGGCCUCAAAGCCUGCACAGCACCAUAGGGCUGCCCCCACAUCCCUGCACACCCUAUAGCAGAGGCACAGCGAACCCUACCCGCCCCCCCCCCCCCCGGGGGCUCCUUAGGGUGCAGGAGGUACACUAGAAGCACGCCCCCCCCCCCCAACCUUACAAUCCCAUUCUCGGAGAAGGAGUCCAGGCUCUUCCCAUGCACCGCCCCCCCCCCCCCCCAAAAAAAAGAAAAUCCACCCUCUCGCCAACCCGCUUUCAGGAUGCUCACCAUUGCCAGGCGCUGCUGGAGUAGGUCCUGGUGCCGUGGGAGCUGCGCUGUUGGGGGGGGUUGCCCUCCCCAGCAUAUCCGGCUCGACGUGCAGCGGAUGUAUCGGGGCGGGGGGAAGCGGGGGGGGGGGGGGGAUGGGUGCUGCCCGCCUACCCGAAAUGCACCCGGGGAUGCGAGGCGGGGGGUGUGAGGUGAUGUGCUAUAGCUGUUGCAGCCUGUGACCGGGCCUUGGCCCGGGGUGGGGGGCAGGUUGGGGUGGGUCCUGCCUCCCCAGCUCAUGCUGGUUCUGGGUUGGGAUGGGAAGCCCUAGCCUGGCUGGGGGGGACCAGCAGCCUCCCCGGAAUGUGAGGGCCCCCCCCACAGCACUGUUUCCUGCCCAAGGCAAGAGCGGGUGCCUGUGACCGCUGUGCCUUCCUGCUCCCCUUGCCUGGGGGGGCUGCGGAGGAACCAGUCCCUGCCUGGUCCCACUGUGGGAGGGGGACACGCAGGCCUCCCUGCCCCAAAAACCACGCAGGGGCCUGAGGCCCCCAGGAUGUGCUGAGGGAGCUCUGGCCCCAUAGCGAACCCCUCUAACCCUUGCGGUGCCUCAUGACCCUGGGCUGCCCCCAGCCCCCCUACUCAGCAAACAUCUUUCUUAUAAAGACCUUUAUUUGGAGUGAAAAUAUAGAUUUUUACCCUG